GCGGUGAUAGAUCGCACGCCAUUUUGAUUCCAAUAAUUCUACUAUUCGGAGGUUAGAUAGUCUUUGUGAGUGAUUAGAUUUAAGAAUAUUGUCGGAGAACGUUCCUUCUCAGCCGGCGAACGCUUCAAGCAUUAAAGUACAAUAUAUAAGCAAAAAUAAUGUAUUUUUUAAAAUAAAUUAUAGGUAUAUAAUAAAAUAGGUAUUAUUAAGCACCUUUUGUAACCUUGACUUUCUAAACUUUGCCAAUUACUUUCUUUAAUGUAUAAAGUUGUCCCUAUUCAAAACACUAGGUGCACCAAAUUCUUAUGGAUAACUGUAUGCAAAACAGUUAACAAUGACUGUUACCGAAAAUUAUUAAAUUACAACUCUUAUUGUGUAUGAAUUUGAAUAAAUUAUGCACACAAUGGAUAUUCAAAUUUGUUCCCAAGCGUACAUUGAAUGCGUGAGCUUCACGUCUUAUUAAUAAUAGUAAUUUAACCCUUCAGGUAGAAAGUGUUGAAUAAAAUGCUACGAUGAUUGAUGGUCUCAUUUAAUUGUAUCUAUAAGGUGUUAGGUUUCUCUGUAAGUUUUUGGAGAACUCUGUUCUGCUCACCAAAACGAUGCCAAACGGAGUUAGGUCUGAUUUGUAUCGAUGCAAUUCGAAUUGGUGCGCUGUAAGGAAUAUCUGGUUUUUUUGUUGAGUAACCUUAAAGUUAGUUAUUUUUUCAAAAUGUGGGAAAAGCAUGAUUUUGUUGAAAUAUUAUGGAUAUUACUAGUAAAUAAUAAAUCUGUCAUUAAAAUAUUUAAUUAGAUACAUAGAUAUGUAAAGAUGACCAAUGAAUUUAAUGAACAAUGUAAUUUAUAAUUUGUAUUCACAGAGAUAAGUAUUAAGUAUAGAUUAUUAUGUUGUAAUAACGUAAAUAUAAAACUUUUAAAUAGGAAACUAAGUACAAAGGUACUACCUACUUAUAUUUCUAUAAAAUUUUCAUAUUUUACCAUUUAUAGAAACACAAAUAUUUUAUUUAUUUUCAGAUAUCGCGUAUUAGAAAAAAAAAUGUCAAUAGUCCCAAAGGUCACAAGACAUUAGAAAGUUGAAAAACUGUAAUUAAUCGGUUACAAGAAAAAAUAUUUCACACUAGUCAAAUCUAGAAAACGGAACUAACGAUAGAUGUGCGUGAUUUGAAAAAAAAAAUCUUACAUCCGUAUGCAAAUCUCAUUCAUUUGCAUAACACAGUGUUCACGUUCAAUCGAAGCAAAAAGUUAACCCUUCACUUUUUUAUAUUUUUUCCUGUCAAAGGCCGGUUUAUACAUAAUUAGAAUAAUACUCUUGUUAUGUUCGGCGCUUGUCAUUUUUUCUUUUUUUUUUUUUUGUCGCACAGAUGUGACGCAAAGGAAGUAAGAAAAAAUGAGAUCGAAAGUGGAGGGUUAAGUUUGCUAUUAAAAACGACUGUUAGUAGUUUUUUCUUUUUACAUUUACAAUAAAUUAAUGGGUUGAUGAUAUUUGUCUUGAAUUAUAAUGAGAGGGUUUGAAGUGACUGGCUGGAAAAAUUAUGGUAUCUGUUGGAAGUUGUAAUUUUUUUUUUCACAAUUAUAUUAUCUCUCUCUUUUUAAAACUUUACUAUUUUAUCAUAAAUAUGUUAAUGUAAAUGUUACAGGUAUAUUAGCGGCUAGUCUUUCCUCGAGUGGUAAAAAAAAUUGAUAACCUAUUCUCAGACCUAUACUGAAUUGGUAUACAAAUGAAAUUUCAUCAAUAUCGGUCAAUCCGUUUUGAAGUAGUAUGGCAACUAACACUGUGACACGAUAUUUUUAUAUAUACAAAGAAGAUUGUAUUACAUAAAUUGUAAAAAAAAUAUUAAAAAUGUUUUUGAAG